AGGGGAAUGGCUCAAUGGUAGAGUAGCGGUCUCCAAAACCGUUGGUUGGGGGUUCGAAUCCCUCUUCCCCUGCCA
rnacentral:tRNA from 1 species